GAAAUCGGGUAGACGCUACGGACUU
rnacentral:tRNA from 7 species